rnacentral:rRNA from 1 species
GACGAACGCUGGCGGCGUGCUUAACACAUGCAAGUCGAGCGGAAAGGCCCUUCGGGGUACUCGAGCGGCGAACGGGUGAGUAACACGUGAGUAACCUGCCCCAGACUUUGGGAUAACCCUCGGAAACGGGGGCUAAUACCGGAUACGACACAGCUUCGCAUGGGGUCUGUGUGGAAAGUUUUUCGGUUUGGGAUGGGCUCGCGGCCUAUCAGCUUGUUGGUGGGGUGAUGGCCUACCAAGGCGACGACGGGUAGCCGGCCUGAGAGGGCGACCGGCCACAGUGGGGCUGAGAAACGGCCCAGGCGCGGACGGGAGGCAGCAGGGGGGAGGGUUGCACAGGGGGAGGAGGCGUGAUGAAGCGACUUCGCGGAGGGGAGAACGGCAUUCGGGGUGGAAACCACUGGCAGCGGGGCCGAAGAGUGUGGGAGGGGCCCGGCAGAAGGAGCGCCGGCCAACUACGUG